ACCUAAAGCACAGGGGCCCAGAGAAACGGGACACUGGCACCCCAAUCCCACAACCAUCCUCACUUUUCACCAGAGGCAACGGGAAAUUUUGAGCAGGCAGGUACAAGGAGGAGCUGUGGUUCGGACCCGGCUUCAAAUGCUGGCCAACCACCACAUACUUGCUGGGAUAUCUGUUUCCUGUGAACCAGUGGGUACUAGCCUUCACCGUGAUAUUGCCGUGGCUUAGAGAGGACAGGCCCUUGCCAGGCCCAGUGCCACCUGUAAAUGGGGGAUGCUUCCCUGGACCCGGGGUGCCUGGCUUCCACACUCUCCUGGGCUCUUUCUUGCCUCUGUUCCCAAAUAGGGAGGGAGGUCUUAACGAGUGUGAAUGUUAUAAGCCUACUACCAGAGGGCUGGCCAGGUUCCAGAAGUGACAAAUGUGUACUUGGCUAUGGUUGGAUCUUAUGAGACCCCUUGCUUGCUGGCAGACUGUUUUUGCAAAUACCAGCUCCCCUGUUACCAAUUAUGAGAAGGUGCUCACUUGGGGUGUGCACGGGUGUUGGGCUCUGGGCAUACUCUCUCCAAGGUCUCACGGGCAAAGAGAACUAAGGAACCAAGUCCCAAGACAACCACUGCUAUUUGCUCAACCCACAUAGCCUUGUGGAUGGGGAGAGGGCAAUUCUACAUGUGUUCCCCUUCAUGCAUCUGCAGUGUCUUAGUACAUGCCGUCAAGGGUUAAGAGUAUUUCUCAGUAUGCCAUUAGGAAGCAAGGCCUCGUUAUUUGGGGUGAAAUCAUUUUAGAGCAAAUCCUGUACAGUGGGUAAGCUGAAUGUUUUCAGCCACCAGAGUGUGGAAAUUUGCGGGAAACUGGGAUUUAACCUGGUGGUUACUCAAUUUCGUCAUUAGAAUGGUCUGUAAUCCACUAAAGUCCCUGAAACUAUCUGCAAGAAAAAUCCAUCUUUAUAUAUGAUGCAGUGGUUUCUAAAUUAUUUUUGGAUAGCAGAAAAAAAAAUUUUUUUCCAGAACCCCCAAACACACAAUAGAGAAUAGUCCUACUGUUCUGUUUGAAGCUGGGGAUGAGACCUCUGCUCAAAAGCCCCUGCCAUCCCAGUGCCCUGGAAAUGACCCAGGACCAUGGCUACACCAGAUACGUACACUGCAGUACUGUGCCCGGCUCUGAGGACCACCCCUAGGAUGGACCAUACCAGCUGGAAUAUCUUCAGAAGGAAACCAGGAUCCAGAAGUGUUUUAGGGAAACAAGUAUGCUAAGCUCAGAGACAAAAGCUUAAGCAUCAUCAUUACCUGGCAUGGAGAAUGGAGGGAGCAGCCAAUUUAUUUGCUCGUUCACUGCUUUGAAGCUUUGUCCUUAAUUCAUUCAUCUCAGCAUCUUUAAAUUGGAGUUCGGACUGCAAUGAUUGGAGCUGGAAGGCAAAAACAACACACUCAUGGUCUUCUUGAAAUUUUACCAAAACGCCACGCAGCACGGGGAGACCUGCUCCAGCCCAUGGCCAGCAGUAACUGCUAUUAUUCCCUGAGCACACUCUGUGCCUGUAUGGCACCAGUCACAGCACCAGUCACAGAGUUUUUGACAUCCCAUCUAAUCUGGGGACCUUAUGAACAUCUGUAAAAAAACAGUUCCCAUAUACUUUUCUGGAUCCAACACUUUCCCACUUUUGCCAGUCAAUGCUGAAAAGAAUCACUCUUGAAAGCAAAUUAGAGAAAGAUCUAGUAAGCAGUAUAGAUAGUUUCCAACCUAAGAACAUGAUUCAAACUCAUAAAUGAUCCUUAUGAAAUGACAAACAGAUCCUGCCUCCCCCUACUCCCCACCCCUCAAUUUUAAGAGUAUCAUCUAAAGGCUGAAAAGGUGCUGUGGGAACCUCACUGGUCAGAACUUGGUGAUCUGUUAUUCGACAAUAUUUACUGAGCACCUAUAGCUAUACCUACUGAGCACCGGGCACAGUCUAGUCUCUAAAGGUACAGUGGUGAGCAAAAUAGAUACAGUCCUUACACUCAUGAAGCUUAGAGGACAUUCAAAAAUAAUUAAAUAAAUGUAAAACUACAACUGUGAUAAGAGCUACACAAGAGAACAAGUAUAGGAAAGCCAAGUAUAUGGAUCCAACUGGAAUGACUGGAAGGCUUCCCAAGGAAGUGAUGACUGAGGCACCAUGCUGGCAAUACUGGAGAAUGACUGGACUCCCAGAUGAAUGUGUGGGAUUUAAGAUGCCUGUGAGAUAUCCAAGUACAGAUGCAAGAUGCCCUCAAAACAGUUCUCCUUCUGUGAGCCCCACAAGACUUCACUCACUCCCCAGCUAGAAAGUAAGCUCCCGAAGAAAGGAGUUUUUGUCUUUUGUUCAUUGCUAAGUGUGCUGCAGUUCCUAAGGUUUUGGACACCUAGUACAAUUUACUGGUUGUAUAACGGAAUAAACCUCUUUCAUCUCUUGCCUCA